GCUAGGUGUGGUGGUGCACACCUGUAGUCCCAGCUACUCAGGAGGCUGAGGCAGGAGAAUCGCUUGAGUCCAGGAGGUCAAGGUUGCAGUGAGCUAUGAUCAUAGCACUGCACUCCAGUCUGGGUGAUAGAGUGAUACCUUGACUCAA
ensembl:misc_RNA Metazoa_SRP Metazoan signal recognition particle RNA